GGCUAAGGCCAUACCACCCUGAAGGCACCCAGUCUCAUCUGAUCUCAGAAGCUCAGCAGGGUCGGGCCUGGUUAGUACUUGGAUGGGAGACACCUGGGAAGACAUGCAAUGCUUCCAUAC
rfam:Cricetulus griseus cell line CHO-K1, whole genome shotgun sequence.